UGCCUGCUUCCAGAACCUCCUUGCUCAGGAAGGUGUUCCCCUUCCUUCAUCAUCAGAGGGCUUUCUGGGUCGGCCCCGAACGGUGCAAGCAAAACCCCUUCUAGCGUACGUGCCCGCAUGCAGGUGGCUGAGAGGUUUUAUCUGUUUAUCUUCAUACUUGAAAAAGCCUCAACAUCAAAGGUAUUUUCACCUGCGGUACAAAUUAGAUCACCAUAUGGAUUAACCAAAGUUUGUGUUGUUAUAAUGAAAACAUUUGUUCCUCUGUGCACAAUUUUCCAGCCUAACUGGCCCCACCUGCCAAAAAGGAACAAUUUAUUUUAAAUUAUUUCGUCAAAAUAUCAAACCUAUUUCACUGGCAACAUCAAGAAAAGGAAAAGGGGAGCAGUAGGGGUGACCACGGUGCUGCCCUGCUGAGUCCGCUUGGCUCUAGGGUAAGCCUUCAUACGUGCCUGCCAGGAGCUGGAAUAUACCACCCAGACCUUGAAGUUGCACCCAAGAGAAAUCGGCUGUCAACGCUAAGAAAGCCCUUCAAGAAAAAGACAAAAUUCAUCUUCCUUUGUGGUGAGAAAUUACUUCUGUUAAAAGAACCAGAGAGGAGAAAACUUAUGUUUAAAUUGUAGGAAAUUGCAUGAAGCAAAAUGUUGCAAAUGCUUUUACAAGUAAAAAUAAACUCCACUGAAACUGUCAGAUCUGAGAGAGAAAGGAUAGUGUUAAAUUCCUUCUGUUUGUAAAUAGUAAAGGAUGUUGAUAAUCCAAAAUUAAAAGAUACGUGAGCAGUUGUCCAGUAAAAGCUGUAUGAGUAGUGCCUGUUCUAAUGGUAUAAGUCACACCUAUUAAUGGUUUUAGUUGGGUUUUAUAAUCUUACGUAAUUGUAAAAUCCAGAUGCUGCUUGCUGAUUGUAACCAAAUCUGCCAAAGCAGCAUCGGUCUCAAUGAUAGUAACUUUCUGAUAAUGCUGUCAGAGUCAGUUACAGAUAAAGAAGACACUCUGCUGAGUGACAGAGAGCAUUAGUCAUUAUUCAACCCAGGGAGAGUGUAUUGGCAUUAUCCAGCUUGUCAGUCCACAUGCAUAUGACCGAUUUAAGCAGCGUGUAUCUGAAAUCCCAUCACACACAGCAAAUCACAUUUUCACUCGUCUGCAGACCAACAAAGAUAGGUAAGCAAACGAUGAGACCUAAAACUACUAUGGUGAGGGUCUCGCAGGAUAGGGAAGGGGAGAGGAGAUGGCCAAAGGUAUGUGUGAAGAUGCUAGAAGCAAAUUGGGGUGUGCAGAGCAUCUGCAAGUGCUGUGUGGACUUGGAGGUGUCAGGGAUACUGUGUUGCAUAAAGAGGUAUAAAGGAUGCGUGGGAAACGGGCUAUUGCAGUGAAGGCAUCAUGAGAGAUGUGGGAAAUAAAUACGCUGAGAACAGCAAUUAAUUCAAUUUAUAGCCCAUGGAAUGCUGUGGUAAUCUGAUAUAAGCACUUCUAUGGCUACGCUUUUAUACAAGUUCUUCUCUGUGUUUUCUUCCACAAGUGUUCUUAUCUGGCAAGUUUAACAUUUGUCAAACUUACUUUAAACAGGCUUCUUCCCUCUGGACUAGAUGUUAUGUUUGUUCCAAAAACUAAAACCCUCUCCCAUAGGAACGGAGUCGGUAUUGGUAUUGAGAAGGGUCCUGAGUUUGAGGUCUCCUUCAGUGAUCUGUCUUUAAUCUUUUAUUACACAAAACCUUACAUUUCCCCCUACCUCAGUAAUUCAGGUUAUCCUGGUCUUUCACUGUUGAUUUUGAUCUCACCUGUAGAAUAUGGCAAGGACUGAACGUAAGCUACCCAGAAUAUGAGCCAUGUAUCAUCGGGCCACACGCCACAUGCAAAUGUAGUAGAAGCUAGGUUUUCCCAACUGUCCCGGUGACUCAAGGUUUUCAAAGUGUAAAAUGGUAUUUUUGAAAUCUUUGAAUGGAAGUAAUGCCAUCCAAUAAAUAAUUACCUGUAAACUUGGUAGCAGGUAUUUCAGUGGAAUUCUACAUCUCGAGUUUGGAGGACGCACAGAUGGCACGCUGAGAAGCUGUUUGGAAGCACUGCUUUCUUGGAUGUGGAUACAAAGUCCACAUUGAACGCCUUCCCCUGCAGCAAGUGUGAAAGCAGCCUUUCUCUUCAUCUCUGUUCUUCAGUCUCACAGUUUAACCACAGCCCUUUUACCUGAGAAAUCUUUUGGAUGAAAGCUGUUUGCCUGAUGCAGUGUGGCCUCAGGAGGUGAGCAACAGCAGUGACCCUUUCCUGCAUGCAGCUGUGAUACAGAGGAACCGUCAGAAGGGAGAUUUGACUUCCCAGGUGGUGUUUUGCACACAAAAUCCAACUGCUGCCUGUGUGGCCACAUGGAGGUCCGCCUCAGGUGUUUAGACAUCAGUGACUCACGAUCCCCAUGACACUAGUAUUUUCUGCAAGUGUUAAUAUAGCUGUGUUAAAUCCAGA